AUCAACAUCUUUCCAACCUCAACUUGCUCAGUCAAGUAUCAUUUACUUGUUUGUGGUGUUAGUGUUGAGUACAAUGUUUCAUACCUUCAUUUAUACAGGGGAAAGUUUCACCAAAAAUAUUCAUUUAGCCUGCAGUGGGAAAAUGGUCUUUCCUGUAAGAUUGUAACUACUUCAGGAUUUAUCUCGCAUGCCUUAUCAGUUAUCAGUAUUGAUUCAUAGGAUAACUCAUCGUAAAGGCCCAUUUCCACUCGAUCAAGAAAAAUUUCCACGCACAGAAAAUUUUCCGAAAAUAUCAUUGUUAAAAGUUGAAAAUAUCAUCAACUUCAAAAUUUUUCCGACACAAAAUUUGUGUCGGGCAAUCACAGUUUACAAAAUUUUCUUUCUGCGGAAAAUGUUCCUGACUUGGAAAUGGGCCUUACAAGAGCAUAAUCCAUGUAAGCUAGGUAACAAAAGGCAUCUCCCUAUAUAUAAUAUUAUAUUGUAACUUUUUGCAGAACAUUUUGAGCCCUAAACCCAGG